AGACCCGAAACCCGGUGAUCUAGCCAUGGGCAGGUUGAAGGUUGGGUAACACUAACUGGAGGACCGAACCGACUAAUGUUGAAAAAUUAGCGGAUGACCUGUGGCUGGGGGUGAAAGGCCAAUCAAACCGGGAGAUAGCUGGUUCUCCCCGAAAGCUAUUUAGGUAGCGCCUCGUGAAUUCAUCUCCGGGGGUAGAGCACUGUUUCGGCUAGGGGGCCAUCCCGGCUUACCAACCCGAUGCAAACUGCGAAUACCGGAGAAUGUUAUCACGGGAGACACACGGCGGGUGCUAACGUCCGUCGUGAAGAGGGAAACAACCCAGACCGCCAGCUAAGGUCCCAAAGUCAUGGUUAAGUGGGAAACGAUGUGGGAAGGCCCAGACAGCCAGGAUGUUGGCUUAGAAGCAGCCAUCAUUUAAAGAAAGCGUAAUAGCUCACUGGUCGAGUCGGCCUGCGCGGAAGAUGUAACGGGGCUAAACCAUGCACCGAAGCUGCGGCAGCGACACUGUGUGUUGUUGGGUAGGGGAGCGUUCUGUAAGCCUGUGAAGGUGUGUCGUGAGGCAUGCUGGAGGUAUCAGAAGUGCGAAUGCUGACAUAAGUAACGAUAAAGCGGGUGAAAAGCCCGCUCGCCGGAAGACCAAGGGUUCCUGUCCAACGUUAAUCGGGGCAGGGUGAGUCGACCCCUAAGGCGAGGCCGAAAGGCGUAGUCGAUGGGAAACGGGUUAAUAUUCCCGUACUUGGUGUUACUGCGAAGGGGGGACGGAGAAGGCUAUGUUGGCCGGGCGACGGUUGUCCCGGUUUAAGCGUGUAGGUGUGUGUUCCAGGUAAAUCCGGUUCACUUUAACACUGAGGCGUGACGACGAGGCACUACGGUGCUGAAGCAACAAAUGCCCUGCUUCC
rnacentral:rRNA from 1 species